AGCCCUCCUGAGGGGUGGUGAGUUUACCUGAGACAGCGACACUAAUUUGCGCUGAACCCUUUGAACCUGAUCCGGUUAGUGCCGGCGUAGGAAUAGGAAGUCAGCCUGCU
rnacentral:ncRNA from 1 species